GAGGAAUAUUGGUCAAUGGGCGAGAGCCUGAACCAGCCAAGUAGCGUGCAGGAUGACGGCCCUAUGGGUUGUAAACUGCUUUUGUAUGGGGAUAAAGUCAGUCACGUGUGAUUGUUUGCAGGUACCAUACGAAUAAGGACCGGCUAAUUCCGUGCCAGCAGCCGCGGUAAUACGGAAGGUCCGGGCGUUAUCCGGAUUUAUUGGGUUUAAAGGGAGCGUAGGCUGGAGAUUAAGUGUGUUGUGAAAUGUAGACGCUCAACGUCUGACUUGCAGCGCAUACUGGUUUCCUUGAGUACGCACAACGUUGGCGGAAUUCGUCGUGUAGCGGUGAAAUGCUUAGAUAUGACGAAGAACUCCGAUUGCGAAGGCAGCUGACGGGAGCGCAACUGACGCUGAAGCUCGAAGGUGCGGGUAUCGAACAGGAUUAGAUACCCUGGUAGUCCGCACAGUAAACGAUGGAUGCCCGCUGUUGGUACCUGGUAUCAGCGGCUAAGCGAAAGCAUUAAGCAUCCCACCUGGGGAGUACGCCGGCAACGGUG
rnacentral:rRNA from 1 species